CAAGUAAUCAUCUUCCAGCUACAAGGAUCAACAGAAUUAAUAUCCCAGUUGUCCAGGACAUUGUAGGGAUCAACCAAGCUCCUCUUAAUGGACAUCAGAGCUACCACUGCUUAAGAAACAAAACAAAAUCCCGCUAUGUUUAAACUUAAUCCCAUCAUGAUUCAAGUAUCAAAGUAUCUCUCCUAUUUCGGAUCCCCUAUUUCGCGUUUCCAGUCCACAACUCCAGCACUUCUCUAAAAAAAAACCUAACCGUCCUGCAGCACCCAAACCCAACUCCGUCAUUCGAUCUGCCUGCGUCAACGCCGUAUAGAUGCCAACUUGCAGUUUGGGUCAAGCUUUCCCUCGCCGCCGCAAUUGAGGCGCCACUGGAUCCUGACGUUAAGUCACUCUGGCCAGAUCAAAUGGGAGGAGGGAAUGUAAGUCUCUCUACUACUGCCCUAUGCCAAUUUAUAUCAUAUUUGGAAUUUCUGGAUUAAUCUGGUGGGUGGCAAGUUUUGUGGUUCUAUAUCAAAGGAAUGUAGCAGCAUGGUAUCUUGAAGAAGGAUAAUACAAGAUUCAUGGUUUCUUGGCACAUGGAAACUGAAGGAUGAGGAUAAUCAAUUUAACAAAGAGUUCACAUAGGCCAAGAACUUAGCGAGUGCAGAUUAGGUGCUGGUCUGACAUGGGCGCACUAACUUAUUUCAUAAUUGGGCUGACCAAUAUAAUGUACAAAAUGGGCCGGGCAACCCAUGGUUCAGUCGAACUAAAACCCAAGCUAUAAAUAACAGGCACCACCCAAGCGGUGGGGGAUCUAUCAUUU